AGGCAGCAGUGGGGAAUAUUGGACAAUGGGCGCAAGCCUGAUCCAGCCAUGCCGCGUGAGUGAUGAAGGCCCUAGGGUUGUAAAGCUCUUUCAGCGAGGAGGGAUAAUGACGUUACUCGCAGAAGAAGCCCCGGCUAACUUCGUGCCAGCAGCCGCGGUAAUACGAAGGGGGCUAGCGUUGUUCGGAAUCACUGGGCGUAAAGCGCACGUAGGCGGACUUUUAAGUCAGGGGUGAAAGUCCCGGGGCUCAACCCCGGAACUGCCUUUGAUACUGGAAGUCUUGAGUCCGAGAGAGGUGAGUGGAACUCCGAGUGUAGAGGUAGAAAUUCGUAGAUAUUCGGAAGAACACCAGUGGCGAAGGCGGCUCACUGGCUCGGUACUGACGCUGAGGUGACGAAAGCGUGGGGAGCAAACAGGAUUAGAUACCCUGGUAG
rnacentral:rRNA from 1 species